CCCCUCCCCCCCUUCCCCAAGUGCCGUUUCGGUUUAACCUAGUGUGUGACUGAGUCUGUGUGAGGGAGCGAAUGAGUGUGUGAGGUAUUGAGGUGAGGCGGAGGCAAGAAAAGGGUCUCCCUCAGGAGCGAGGGACAAAGGGGGCGUGAGGCACCUAGGCCGCGGGACCCCAGCGACAGGAAGCCGCCCCGAGACGGGCUACCGGGUAGGGGAAGGGCCCGCGCAGUCUUCACAGGGCCCCAGAGCCGGAGUCGGCCCCACAGCCCCCGGGCCGUCGGCUUCCUACUUCCUCGACCUCCCCGGCGUCCGGGCCUGAGGACUGGCUCGGCGAGGGGAGGACGGGAAACAGACUUGGGCAGCUACCCGUUGUCUCGCAACUCCACCGCUGAGGAACUCUCAUUUCUUUCCUGGCUCCUUCACCCCCACCUCAUGUAGGAGGGUGCUGAGGAGUCGGGAGGGAGGAGGAGCCUGGGCUACAGUCCCUUCCCUCCCCACCCCCUUCUAGGGGCGCUUUGGUAGGCGUGGGGUUGGGGGGUGGGUGGGGGUUACUUUUCGGAGUGCUGGGGAACUUUUUCCCCGUUUUGAGGGUAGGGGAAAGGGAAUGCCCAAUCCAGAGAGACAUGGGGGCAAGAAGGACGGGAGUGGAGGAGCUUCUGGAACUUUGCAGCCGUCAUCGGGAGGUGGCAGCUCCAACAGCAGAGAGCGUCACCGCUUGGUGUCGAAGCACAAGCGGCAUAAAUCCAAGCACUCCAAAGACAUGGGGUUGGUGACCCCCGAAGCAGCACCUUUAGGUACAAUUAUCAAACCUUUGGUGGAGUAUGAUGACAUCAGUUCUGAUUCAGAUACCUUCUCUGACGAUAUGGCCUUCAAACUAGACAGGAGGGAGAAUGAUGAGCGUCGUGGAACUGAUCGGAGUGACCGCCUGCACAAACAUCGUCACCACCAGCACAGACGUUCCCGGGACUUACUAAAAACUAAACAGACAGAAAAAGAAAAAAACCAGGAAGUCUCCAGCAAAUCGGGAUCUAUGAAGGACCGGAUAUCAGGAAGUUCAAAGCGUUCAAAUGAGGAGAAUGAGGACUAUGGGAAGGCACAGAUAUCCAAAAGCAGCAGCAACAAGGAAUCCAGGUCAUCCAAACUACAUAAGGAGAAGACCCGGAAAGAACGUGAGUUGAAGUCUGGGCACAAAGACCGGAGUAAAAGUCAUCGGAAAAGGGAAACACCCAAAAGCUACAAGACGGUGGACAGCCCCAAACGGAGAUCCAGGAGUCCCCAUAGGAAAUGGUCUGACAGCCCCAAGCAAGAUGAUAGCCCCUCAGGAGCUUCUUAUGGCCAAGAUUAUGACCUUAGUCCUCCAAGAUCUCACACCUCUAGCAAUUAUGACUCCUACAAGAAGAGUCCUGGAAGUACCUCAAGAAGGCAGUCAAUUAGUCCUCCCUACAAGGAGCCCUCGGCCUACCAGUCCAGCACCCGAUCACCCAGUCCUUACAGUAGACGACAAAGGUCUGUGAGUCCCUAUGGCCGGAGACGUUCUUCCAGCUAUGAAAGGAGUGGCUCUUACAGUGGGAGAUCACCCAGUCCCUAUGGUCGAAGACGGUCCAGCAGCCCUUUCAUGAGCAAACGGUCUCUGAGUCGGAGUCCACUCCCCAGUAGGAAAUCCAUGAAGUCUAGAAGUAGAAGUCCCGCAUAUUCAAGACACUCAUCUUCUCAUAGUAAAAAGAAGAGAUCGGGGUCACGCAGUCGACAUUCCAGCAUCUCACCUGUCAGGCUUCCAUUGAACUCCAGCUUGGGAGCUGAACUCAGUAGGAAAAAGAAGGAAAGAGCAGCAGCUGCUGCUGCAGCAAAAAUGGAUGGAAAGGAGUCCAAGGGUUCACCUGUGUUUUUGCCUAGAAAAGAGAACAGUUUAGUAGAGGCUAAGGAUUCAGGCUUGGAGUCUAAAAAGUUACCCAGAGGUGUAAAAUUGGAAAAAUCUGCCCCAGAUACUGAACUGGUGAAUGUACCACAUCUCAAUACAGAAGUCAAAAAUUCUUUAGAUACAGGGAAAGUAAAGUUGGAUGAGAACUCUGAGAAGCAUCCUAUUCUUAAAGAUUUGAAAGCACAGGGAUCAAGAGACUCUAAACCCGUAGCAUUGAAAGAGGAGAUUGUUACUCCAAAAGAGACAGAGGUAUCAGAAAAGGAGACCCAUCCGCCUCUCCCCACAGUUACUUCUCCUCCACCUCCUUUACCAACUACUACCCCUCCACCUCAAACACCCCCUUUGCCACCUUUGCCUCCACUACCAGCUAUUCCACAGCAACCACCUCUGCCUCCUCCCCAACCAGCAUUUAGUCAGGUUCUUGCUUCUAGUACUUCAACUCUGCCCCCUUCUACUCACCCAAGGACAUCUACUCUGUCCUCUCAGGCAAAUUCUCAGCCCCCUGUACAGGUGUCUGUGAAGACUCAAGUAUCUGUAACAGCUGCUAUUCCACACUUAAAAACUUCAACGUUGCCUCCUCUGCCCCUCCCACCCUUAUUACCUGGAGACGAUGACAUGGAUAGUCCAAAAGAGACUCCACCUUCAAAACCUGUAAAGAAAGAGAAGGAACAAAGGCCACGUCACUUACUCACGGACCUCCCUCUCCCUCCAGAGCUUCCUGGUGGGGAUCCAUCUCCUCCAGACUCGCCAGAACCAAAGGCAGUUACACCACCUCAGCAACCAUAUAAAAAGAGACCAAAAAUUUGUUGUCCUCGUUAUGGAGAAAGAAGACAAACAGAAAGUGACUGGGGAAAACGCUGUGUGGACAAGUUUGACAUUAUUGGGAUUAUUGGAGAGGGAACCUAUGGCCAAGUAUAUAAAGCCAAGGACAAAGACACAGGAGAGCUGGUAGCCCUAAAGAAGGUGAGACUGGAUAAUGAAAAGGAGGGCUUCCCGAUCACAGCCAUUCGUGAGAUCAAAAUCCUUCGUCAGCUAAUCCACCGAAGUGUUGUUAACAUGAAGGAAAUUGUUACAGAUAAACAAGAUGCACUGGAUUUCAAGAAGGACAAAGGUGCCUUUUACCUUGUAUUUGAGUAUAUGGACCAUGACUUAAUGGGACUGCUAGAAUCUGGUUUGGUGCACUUUUCUGAGGACCAUAUCAAGUCAUUCAUGAAACAGCUAAUGGAAGGAUUGGAUUACUGUCACAAAAAGAAUUUCCUGCAUCGGGAUAUUAAGUGUUCUAACAUUUUGCUGAACAACAGUGGACAAAUCAAACUAGCAGAUUUUGGACUUGCUCGACUCUAUAACUCUGAAGAGAGUCGCCCUUAUACAAACAAAGUCAUCACCCUGUGGUAUCGACCUCCAGAACUUCUGCUGGGAGAGGAGCGUUACACACCAGCUAUUGAUGUUUGGAGCUGUGGAUGCAUCCUUGGGGAACUGUUCACAAAGAAGCCUAUUUUUCAAGCCAAUCUGGAACUGGCUCAGCUAGAACUGAUCAGUCGACUCUGUGGUAGCCCUUGUCCAGCUGUGUGGCCUGAUGUUAUCAAGCUGCCCUACUUCAAUACCAUGAAACCGAAGAAGCAAUAUAGAAGGCGUCUGCGAGAAGAAUUCUCUUUCAUUCCUUCGGCAGCACUUGAUUUACUGGACCACAUGCUGACACUAGAUCCUAGCAAACGUUGCACAGCUGAACAGACUCUACAGAGUGACUUCCUUAAAGAUGUUGAGCUCAGCAAAAUGGAUCCUCCAGACCUCCCCCACUGGCAGGAUUGCCAUGAAUUGUGGAGUAAGAAACGGCGACGACAGAGACAAAGUGGUGUUGUGAUAGAAGAGCCACCUCCAUCCAAAGCCUCACGGAAAGAAACUACCUCAGGGACAAGUGCUGAGCCCGUGAAGAACAGCAGUCCAGCACCACCUCAGCCUGCUCCUGGCAAGGUGGAACCUGGGACUGGGGAUGCAGUAGGCCUCGGUGACAUCACACAGCAGUUGAAUCAAAGUGAAUUGGCAGUGUUACUGAAUCUGCUGCAGAGCCAAACCGACCUAAGCAUCCCUCAAAUGGCACAGCUGCUUAACAUCCACUCCAACCCAGAGAUGCAGCAGCAGCUGGAGGCCCUGAACCAGUCCAUCAGUGCCCUAACGGAAGCCACUUCCCAGCAGCAGGACUCAGAGCCCAUGGCCCCAGAGGAGUCUUUGAAGGAGGCACCUCCUGCCCUAGUGGUCCAGCCUUCAGCAGAACAGACAACCUCUGAGGCUUCAAGCACACCAGCUGACAUGCAGAAUAUGUUGGCAGUUCUUUUGAGUCAGCUGAUGAAAACCCAGGAGCCAGCAGGCAGCCUGGAGGAAAACAACAGUGACAAGAACAGUGGGCCACAGGGGCCCCGAAGAACUCCCACAAUGCCACAGGAGGAGGCAGCAGCAUGUCCUCCUCACAUUCUUCCACCAGAGAAGAGGCCCCCUGAGCCCCCCGGACCUCCACCGCCGCCACCUCCACCCCCUCUGGUUGAAGGCGAUCUUUCCAGCGCCCCCCAGGAGUUGAACCCAGCCGUGACAGCCGCCUUGCUGCAACUUUUAUCCCAGCCUGAAGCAGAGCCUCCUGGCCACCUGCCACAUGAGCACCAGGCCUUGAGACCAAUGGAGUACUCCACCCGACCCCAUCCCAACAGGACUUACGGAAACACUGAUGGGCCUGAAACAGGGUUCAGUGCCACUGACACUGAUGAACGCAACUCUGGUCCAGCUUUGACAGAAUCCUUGACCCAGACCCUGGUGAAGAACAGGACCUUCUCAGGCUCUGUGAGCCACCUUGGGGAGUCCAGCAGUUACCAGGGCACAGGGUGGCAGCAGCAGGAAGAAUGGCCCUUGAGUUUGGUGAAGUCCAUCAGUCACCUAGCAUCUGGCGCCCUGACACAUUCAGUCUCUUUCAUAGACUCUAAGCCAGGUUUGAUGGGAGCUCCCACCUGUCUAGACAUUGUGCAAAGCACCAGAAGUAGAGACCUACAAGCCUGCUUCUCUCCAUCUUCAUUGCCCAGAACCAGGCAGGUCAUCAGCUUCUAGUGCCCACCCCCCACUCUUCUUGCUGCCAGACAGGGAUCAGAAAUACCCUGAGAGAGAGCCUGAGAGCCAGGCCCCAAGAAGCCAGAAGAAUAAUUAGUAUCACUUGCUCUUCCUUAAAAAUGGACUCAGACCCUGAACACUCCACCCUAGUGGCCUGACAUCUCGGUUGGAGAAGAACAGGGAUAUGCCAAGGAUGGAGACCUCAGACUCUCCCAACUCUGAACAUCACACCCUGUCCUAAGGGCCCUCUACCACUUACACUUCUGCCCUUCACCCAUCAAGCCUAGAAGCUAGCCACACCCUUUGACUUCCCUCUGCCCCUUUAAGGGAAAUGGAGAUGUGGAAAUGGAGACUGAGAGGGGAAAUCAGUUCCUGGAUUUGGAGAGUUCCUGGGACCACAAGGAAAGAGCGGUGGAGCAGAACAGCAAAGAAGGAGCAGAAGGGGGGUCAGGCUUUCGGUAGGCCCUUUCUCAACCCUUGUACAGCCCCGGUCCAACAUUAGAGGCAUAGUGGAGGGUCCAAAAGGCCCUGAAAGCAUUCAGUCUAGAUUCUAGAUGUUUCUCUAAGGAAUGAGGCUUCCAUUCCCGUAGUCCCCACCAGCCCUGCCUCAUACUCCCAAGGUUUAGGCAAGGAGAUCUACAGCCCCAGAGUCAGAGCCUGGAGUCUAGAGGCCACAAGGAAUGCUGAGUCUUUGCUGGGAAAGAAGAGUAGACUUGAAGUGAGUGGGAGGCAGAGGUAGCAGAAUCCCCUGCACUUUGGAGAAAAACAAGCUCAGUAUUAGCCCAGGGUUUAGCUUUUACUCUGAUGAGACUCCGCCUUUCCUCCUUCUCCCUCAGUAUGUCCCAUGGGUUGGUAAGGCAUCUAGAUGUCUGAACCUCCCACCUGACACCUCGAAGGUUGUUAUAGCCCCUCUUUAGCUCCCAAAGCCAUGGGCGAGGGGAAGGAAGGUGCCUCAGAGGUGGCAGUGCUAUGAUGUCCAUCAGCACCCAGGGAGAGAGGCCAAGGGGAAUAAACAGUAACCAGAGAGGGAGCUAGGAGGAGAUGCCUGGUCUUGAAACAGCCUCCUUAUCCUAUCCUCUCCUGCACCCUCUCUCACAUGCUGACGAGGCUGUGUGCCCAAGUGUGCCAGCUCUUCUGGUUGGUGGUUCUGCUCUGCCAUGCAGGCAGCCGGCUCUCUGCUCUGGCACAGAACACAUGCUGGGGUCUCUCACACUUCUUUGCUCACUCAUUUCAAUGUGUCUGCAUUACAGAUUCCUAGGGAUGAAAGAAAAGGCUGUGGCCCUGUGAGGUGGUGGGCUUGGGGCCCUUUGGGUGCAUAUCUGCCUUGCUGCAGGGCAAGGAGGGAGAAGGCUGCUGGCAGCUCAGCUGAGCUCAAGGUUCUGGUGACUCAUAGCAAUGGGGGCAGCUUAUGAAAACAAAAGAGGGGAAGAGGCUUCAGGCUUGUUAGAGCUCUCUUUUGCCCCAAUUCUCCCCCACUCUGAGCUGUGUGGAUAAAGGUCUCUCAUAUGGAUUGUGGGUCAAGGAGAGGCCCCAGCUACGAAAGAAUAGAGGGAAAUGGGAGAGAAGAGAUCAGGGAAGGCUGAGCAUUCCCAGAAAGAGGCUUCCCAGUGAGAAAAGGAUACGAGAGGCUAGGCUAGUAGUAUACAAUUGUAUCCUUUGGGGCUGCACAAAGGGUACUGGGCAUUCACAUGUGCAGACAGACACAGCCACUCCUCCCUGGAAGGAUUGCCACAGUCUCAGUUCUCUCUUCCCUGGAAACAGACACCAUAGAUCUUCAAAGGUGCUGAUUCCUUUAUCUCUUACAGGCCAGGUGGGCAAUAUGCAUCCUCUCCAUCCUUUCUGAAUCAGGGGGAUGAUAGGAUAUUGUGUUUGAGACCACAUCAGCAGAAAGUGGCCAGAAGGUGGACCAGGGGAACCAUUCAGGCCUCUGACCACAGUCCCAGGGGCCUCCUUGUUUCAGCAAAGGGAAACAGAGAUCUUUGAUACUAGUAUCCAGAUAAUAAUACCUUCCCUCUAACCUCAGUGAAGGAUGGGCUAAGAGGAGGAGAAUUCUCUGGCAGAGCCCAUUUUCAUUUGCCUGUUUCGUUGCUGGUGGCUUUGCUCUCCAGCUGGGGUGAGGGACUCUCUGCUGGGCUGCUUCUGGAGAUCCAGAGAUGGUUUGGGUUGGAGAAAGAGACCAGCCGCUCUUUGCUCUUUGCUCUUUGCUCUUCCUGCAGAGAGUUGGGACCGUCUCUACUCCCCCAGCUCUCCCUGGCAGCAUCAGGAACCCAGGGCCUCCUGCUGGAAUACCCGUAAUAAAGCUCAGUCCUGAACUGAACCAACACAUCACCUGGCUCUGGUAUAGAAAUGGUGCUGUGAGGGGGAGCCUGGGUGCACCAGGUGGGUGUAGGCAGGUGUGGGGAGUUUAGGCCCAGGAGAGAUAUUAGAAUCACUCCUCAAUACCACAUGUUUCUCCUCUUUCUCAAACUUUCUGCUUGGCCUCCCUUUUCUUCUGUCUCCCUUCAGCUAUCUCCACUCCUGGCCAACUCAUCCCUUCCAAUCUGAGAAGAUAUGGUAAGUAGUGGCCUGUUCCCUACACUUUUCUUUCCCUUCCUCUACUCCCAACUCCCAGCCAAGAGUUACCCCAUUUGAACUCUUUGCACCAGUGAAUGCCAUCAGGGUCUGAACCCAGAAUCCCCAGCCUCUGCAACCCCCCUGACUUGAGAAUGCCACUCUGACUCUGAGACUGACUCUUUCGUGCUCAUCCUCCCCACAAGGAUAGCCAGGCCAAGACUGGUAUGUCCACUGACAGUAAGAGCCCUGACCUGAGGCAGAGGGCAGCUCUAAGGGUGCAGUGGGGCUCGGCCCUAAAUGCGUGUAUGCCUGUGCAUUGGGCACACUGGUUUAUUAGUGUUAUUUCAGCAUUGUGAUGCAGAGAGAGUAAGUGUAACAGCUGCUCCUUGCUUGCAGUGUUUAUUGUUACCUAGAGACAACCUCCUGGCUUUUUCCCAGCUCCCCCCUCCCCCCCCAGCCCAACCCCCUCCCUGCCAACAGUCCUACUCUCCCCACACUGAUGGGAAAUUUAUAGCCUGCCCAUACCAUCCUUUAACCCUCUCCUGUCCAUAGGGAAGAACAGGGCUGAAGUGGAUAGAGCCCAUGAGUAAUCUGCCUACAGACCUGGGACCUGGAAUCAGAAAGGAAGCCUCUGGGUGUCUAUGAGAGGAUACAUGGCUAAGGUCCUCCUUGGAAGUGUGAAGUUGGAUGUGUCUCUGAUGAGGUCUGAAGAAACUGAGGCCAUGCUGAGUGAGCUCUCUGUUCUGAAGGGAUGGGAAGUUCCACGAGGACAGUGACCACGUCUAUCUGUAUUCACCAAAGUGCUCCCAGUGCCCAGCACAGUGCCUAGCAUAAAGCAACUAUUUGGAAACAAGAAGAGAAGACCCAGAGGAGGAAAGAAGGAAGAUGGAAUUCCAUGAAGACACUCCUGUGCAGUAUACACUUGUGCGCACUGGGAUAUGUGCAUGCAGGUCAGGAUGCUUGCUGAAGCCCCGUGGAGCAUGUGUACACGCAGCUCACUUAUUACGCAUGCACGGAGAAGAAUUAUUCACAUAUGCAGAGCAGUCUUCCCACAUCCAGACCACUGUCCUAACCAGGUUGGUUCCUGCAAGUUGUUAGCCUGAGCCAUGUUUUUCCAUGAAUCCUAAUGCACCAAUGUUCCCCAGCUCCUGGCAGCUACCUUGAGUCAGCCAUGAUGGUGAUGAAGCACCACAGCAACUCUGCCAGCGUAGGGGUUAGGGAUACCUGUGCUCAUCCUGUGCACCUGUCUUGAUUACAGUGUGGUGCCUUCUCUGGUGGUCAUCAUAUGACAAGCCUAUACAUCUCACUUGGGAGAGGCGCUGGGCAUAGCUUUGAUUUCAGAGGAAAGAGGAGGCUAAUGAGAGGUGAGAGAGGCAGAAUCUAUGCCUCUCUGUGGCCCCCUUUCCUCCUUACCUGUUCUCAUGAGACAGGUGGCCCCUCAUUAUCAGAAAACAUUUACUGAGUGCCUACCCUCAAGGAGACACUGCUCAGUUGAGCACAGCGCCUCACAUUUUUUCUGAGCUAGGUUGAUGACAGCCAUUAAGAAUCUGGAUGUGCUGUCCCCAUUGGAGGAUCCACAGGAACUCUCAUGGUAACCUCAGCCUUUUCCAUGUUAGACUGCCAGGCCAAGGGAUGCUUCCUGACCUUCCCCAGGAAUCCUCCUUCCUCAAAGAAGCCAGCUUCUUCACGGACUGGUGUGGCUGCCAGCCAAGAGGCUUGGGGCAGGCCUGGGGCAUGCAGCUGGCACCUGCCCACCAGAUCCCCAAGGAGUACUCUCCCCCCCUCCAACUCCAUAGCCCCAUUCAGAUAGCCCCUGGACUAUAAGGAGACAGAGCUCACUGUUUCCCAUUCCCAGAGAAAACUUCAAGCUGGAACACCCCUCACCUCCCUUUCCACCAUAACCUGCUCCAAGAUCCUCCACUCAGACUAAAGACCCACCAGGUACUUUUUCCAGACAGGACCAAAUACUUAAUACAGAAGGGGUUGUGCAGGAGCUGAGUAAGGGGCCUUUGGGGGAGAGGCUUGGGCUGGAAUUAUGGGAGAAGUUGCUGAGGUCAACAGAUGGAUGAGGAAGAAGAACUCCAUGAGAAGGACAUAGGACGGGGGGACACAAAGGGAGAAGGCUAAGUGAAUCUGCUUCUCUCAUCUAAUUAGCAACAUGCAAAUAAUAUGCAAAUAACUCCCUUUGUUUAGA